rnacentral:rRNA from 1 species
GAAUUCGCCCUUAGAGUUUGAUCCUGGCUCAGAUUGAACGCUGGCGGCAUGCCUUACACAUGCAAGUCGAACGGCAGCGCGGGGCAACCUGGCGGCGAGUGGCGAACGGGUGAGUAAUAUAUCGGAACGUACCCUGGAGUGGGGGAUAACGUAGCGAAAGUUACGCUAAUACCGCAUACGAUCUAAGGAUGAAAGUGGGGGCUCGCAAGACCUCAUGCUCCUGGAGCGGCCGAUAUCUGAUUAGCUAGUUGGUGGGGUAAAGGCCUACCAAGGCAUCGAUCAGUAGCUGGUCUGAGAGGACGACCAGCCACACUGGAACUGAGACACGGUCCAGACUCCUACGGGAGGCAGCAGUGGGGAAUUUUGGACAAUGGGCGCAAGCCUGAUCCAGCAAUGCCGCGUGAGUGAAGAAGGCCUUCGGGUUGUAAAGCUCUUUUGUCAGGGAAGAAACGGUGGGGGCUAAUAUCUCUUGCUAAUGACGGUACCUGAAGAAUAAGCACCGGCUAACUACGUGCCAGCAGCCGCGGUAAUACGUAGGGUGCAAGCGUUAAUCGGAAUUACUGGGCGUAAAGCGUGCGCAGGCGGUUUUGUAAGUUUGUCGUGAAAUCCCCGGGCUCAACCUGGGAAUGGCGAUGAAGACUGCAAGGCUAGAAUCUGGCAGAGGGGGGUAGAAUUCCACGUGUAGCAGUGAAAUGCGUAGAGAUGUGGAGGAACACCGAUGGCGAAGGCAGCCCCCUGGGUCAAGAUUGACGCUCAUGCACGAAAGCGUGGGGAGCAAACAGGAUUAGAUACCCUGGUAGUCCACGCCCUAAACGAUGUCUACUAGUUGUCGGGUUUUAAUUAACUUGGUAACGCAGCUAACGCGUGAAGUAGACCGCCUGGGGAGUACGGUCGCAAGAUUAAAACUCAAAGGAAUUGACGGGGGCAAGGGCGAAUUC